GUAGUUCAAUAAAAACUGGGAAAAAGAUAAAGCUUCUUAAAGUCGAAUCUUAUGUGGAGCUGCUGCGUUGGAUUUCAUUAGACCGCCCGCUUUAGCGUAGUGCCAUGGCUGGAGUAACCCAACCAAAAACAGCAGUGACAAGCUGAACCAUACUGUUAUACUCUCGGAUGGUAAGUCAUGUGAGUAGAAGGAAAAAAUCUCAAACAAGAUGUGUAUUCUCAAAAAUGAGGAGAAAAUUUAAAAGGCCACAAUCAAAUAAGACAAAAAAUGUCAAUUAAUUAAAUGCUUUGCAAAAAUAUCCCCUGCAGAGGAAGAAAAUCAAUCCUCACAGCCUCACAGAGUUCAGGUGUGUCCACUCUCACCUGCAGACAGUCUUAGUGAGAGAAGCUGCAGCAAUCACAAAAGGAAAACAGAUCUGAAACCAGAAUUCCAGAAGGACAAAAAAAUACACACAUCCCAUAUUAAAGUAUAGUAGUACAAUUUGUGCUUCAAACCAAUAAUGCUUGGGUGCUAGAGGAAUGUGCAUCUUCCUUUAGCUUUAGCAAUAAUUGGUGAGGACUCCAUGGCCUCAUAACACAUACACCAUGGCGCACUCUGCGAAAAAAGGGCCUGAGUAUCCAUCAAAAAAAGCUGUAUGUACAGUAGGCUUCUAAAAAGUUAAGGGAGGACGAGGCCAGCUAAAGAAGAAAGACUCUUUGUGAAACUGAGAGAUUUCUAGUGCAGCAUUGAAUCAAUAGAUCCAAACAUAUUGACAUUAUGUGCCUUGUUCUUCCUUUCAAAAUGCAUAGUUUGAACCUGGAAAUUCGUGAUCCACCUCUAAACAGAAAGGAAUAGGUAUUUGGAUUAAGAAAUUAGUUGUUAUUACCAGAUGUUUUAUCAGUCUUAGGUGGCAAGUUUUCUGUUCUACACUGCAGUCUGCUGGGGAGGAAGCAUCAAACACAAAGAUGCAAGACAUCUUAACAAACUGGUGAAAAAGGCUG